rnacentral:rRNA from 1 species
UACGUAGGGUGCAAGCGUUGUCCGGAUUUAUUGGGUUUAAAGGGUGCGUAGGCGGCCUUUUAAGUCAGUGGUGAAAGCCCGCGGCUCAACCGCGGAACUGCCAUUGAUACUGGAAGGCUUGAGUACAGACGAGGUGGGCGGAAUUGAAGAUGUAGCGGUGAAAUGCUUAGAUAUCUUCAAGAACACCGAUUGCGUAGGCAGCUUACUAGGCUGUAACUGACGCUGAGGCACGAAAGCGUGGGGAGCGAACAGG